CCUACGGGUGGCAGCAGUAGGGAAUUUUCGUCAAUGGGCGCAAGCCUGAACGAGCGAUGCCGCGUGAGUGAAGAAGGCCUUCGGGUCGUAAAGCUCUGUUGCGGGGGAGAAAAGGCAGCAUCCGGAAAUGGGUGCUGACUGAUGGUGCCCCGCCAGAUAGUCACGGCUAACUCCGUGCCCGCAGCCGCGGUAAAACGUAGGUGGCGAGCGUUAUCCGGAAUGAUUGGGCGUAAAGGGUGCGCGGGGGGUCCUGCAAGUCUGGAGUGAAACGCAUGGGCUCAACUCAUGCAUGGCUUUGGAAACUGGAGGACUGGAGAGCAGGAGAGGGCGGUGGAACGCGAUGGGUAGCGGUAAAAUGCGUAGAUAUAUGGAAGAACACCAGUGGCGAAGGCAGCCGACUGGCCGGUUGCUGACGCUGAGGCACGAAAGCGUGGGUAGCGAAUAGGAUUAGAUACCCUUGUAGUC
rnacentral:rRNA from 1 species